GGGGAAGUCUCCAUGAAUACUGCUGCUGCUGCCCUCUCUACUGUCACUGGAGAUGUUCGAACAGUGGUCCAGCUCAUCUGAGCAGGGCCUAAUACACUGCUAGUGUGAAACGUUCGGCUAUGAACUGAAGAUGAAGAAAUCAUGUGAGCAUUCCCACCUUUACGAUCCACUGAUGAGAAAAUGAAGCACUGAAGAUUGGGUAACUCUGCAAAGAAGGCCAGCUGAGCAGGAUGAAAGAGCUGGAAUCCAAACCAUGUCAUCAGAUGCCACACGGGUCAUAUUUUCAACAGUUUUUUUUUUUUUUUUUUCAAGAGACAAAAUAUUCAUUUUAUUUUUGAACUUUACCUCAAUUUUUAUCUUUCAUUAGUAUGUGUUUGCAGGACAUAAUGAUUACACGCCUUGUGGAAAGUUGGUGGAUGUAAAUAAAACAUCUUAAUUCCCUUUAUCCACUCCCCCCCAUCUCUUGGCCCCUUCCCAUUUGGGAAAGAUCUGUCUCCCUAUUCCUUAUUAUCUAUCUUUCAUUUUGCUCUUCAUUUAUACUUUGGGUCUCAGCAGCUGUUUUAGACAGAAGGCUAAUGGCAUAAGCGCCGCGGGUGCAUCCUUGGACUGCCCUUGGCCCCUGAGGUACGUGAGCCACUGCCUCAGUGGUGGUGUGGAAACCUUCUGUAGAGUUCUACUUCCAUCACUGACAUAGUCAGAGACCACCACAGGGCUUCAGGACAGGAAGCGUCCUAGGCCCUUACCUGCUACUCAUUAAAAGUAUGAUUUGCAUUUUCUUCUAAGACAGUCAGGGUCUUAAAAGCCAUGACUCUUCAUUUGGGGCUACAGAUGCCCCAGUAGGUAACUAAGAACUUGACCUUCAUUUUGUAUCCUUUGUUACUGUAAAUCUAUGGGCCAAAUUCCUUCCCAGCUCUGCCAAUGGGUAUGUUGAUCAUUUAGGGAAUGUCUAAAAGUUGGCAAAAUAAGGUCGCUUUGCUCUGAAUUUACACGAUAUCAUCCCCCUCAAAACUGAGGACACCAAGAUAAGACAUUUACAGGGACAUCCAAUUAUCCCCAGAAGCCUUCAGCCAUCAUCCUAGCCAUCUACUGUGAUCGCCUGGAUUCCAGGAAAAGCAGAGCGCCACGUGAGUGAAACCAGCACAGACACUCAUUUCAAGGGAACAAACUGCCCUUCAUGCCACAAGGGUUCCAGAACCAGGAAAGCAGGACUGCGACAAUGACCCACUGGACCCCAGCCCGCCGGCUCCUUCCAAGCUGGCCUCCUCCCCUUGGGAGUGGGCCAAUCUGGACCCUUCCACCCGAAUGUGCCUCUCCCAUCUGUUCAAACUGCAGUCCUUUCCUACCAGUCUUACUCUUCUUUGCAGAGGGCUGACUUGAUGCUUGCCAGCCCCUCACGCUACAGCCCCUCACCACUUCGCCCAUUUUCUAAUGAAAGCUUUCUCCUGUAAAUGUGUGCUUUAGUUUUAAUUUCCAUUAUUAUCAAAGGCAAGGAGCCACACAGGCUGACGAUAGGUUCUGGCACUGAACGCGGGGCUGUUCCAGCCCGCUACAGGGUUUGCCUGGACCCCGGCACUGACUGAGCACUCGUUAUCACACGCCCUGGAUGCACAGUGUUCCCAGGGGCAAAACCAGCCCUUCAGUUGGUCUUCCAAUCCUUCUUUUCCCCUUUCCCUGACUCCACCUUGUUAAAUUCCCUCGGAACAUCAGGGAAUUAGUUAGUACUUUCACUAACUGGCAACUGUAGGGUCUAUCCACAGGAUGCACGCUAGGCAGCACAUAGCAAGGGUUGCCAAUCCGGGAUACUCCUGGGACAAGCGGUCCCAGAACUGAGAAGGCCAAGAGCAAAGAAGGCAGGUACUCUGCUGGGACACAGGAAUGCCUGCUCCUCAGAAUGACGGAGCAGCACCACUGCUUCCAGCAUGGGUGCUGCUACUGCUUAGCAGUACCUUGUGCCCACUACUGGCUAAGGCUUUACAAACCUGAUUUCAGGGGGUCGGGGCCCCCCAGGCCCUUCCUUUUCUCUCUGCCUAUGUGAAGGCAUCAAAUAAUUUCCCCCUCUUCCUCAAACAGCAGAAAAACAUUACUGAGAAUCCAAGAGAAAAGAAAACAACUCUCAAAAGUUGAAAACACAACAGCAUGCAAAUGAACUGAGUCCACAGAGCAGGCUCUGGGGUUCACCUCUCAUGGGGAGAAACCUCAGAGAGGGCCAGGACAGGACGGGUCUCUUUCCCAGCCCAUGCCCGUAUUUGCAGGAGCCUCCUGGACUAUACAGUUCAGGAAUACACUCAAUACAUACUUGUUGAAUGAAUAAAAGAUCAUUUCCUGAAAGUAAAAUUGACAUACAAGAGCUGAUUAAGGGUAUGUCUUGAUAUAUGAAAUUAUGAAUUUAUAGAUUCUUCUUCAAGUAUAAAACUUACUUAGGGACCCCUAGCUCCUGAUAUCAGUACCUCAGAAUCAUCAUCAUGGUGGGAAAAGGUGAACUGUAGGGAAUCAGGAUAACCCAGGCUUAGGCAGGCUGUUCUCACUUAUGCCCCCUGUCCCCACCUGAGGGUAAGGCGGCACCCCAGUGAUAAAGGUUGGUCUUCCCAAGCUCAGUGGCCAGGCCUGAGGACAGAGCCGUCACCCACACAACUUUGAGCUGCCGGCUUUUGCCUGCAGUGAGUGCUGGUAGAUCACCCCAAAUUCCGCCUAAGAAGAGCUAGAGCACAGGGGCUCCAGUGGUGGUUUGCAAAGUUUUGGCAUUAGCUGCCUGUUUUUAAAAAUGCAAGCUCAUCUAAGCUGCUUUAAUUUUGAAUUUCUUAAAUAAAAGUAAACCUGCCCUUUUUCUGAACAUCUCAUUCCCUGUCCACCUCCUUCCCUUUAGCUGCAUUUUCUGACUUUGCCCCUUGGUGUAACACCAAAUGUCCUCUUGUCUGUACAAUACCUUCACUGGAGAGUGACUUGGCAGCAGCGCCCAUCCUGCUGCCCCAGCUGCCCAGUGAAUUGCCUCAGCCUUGGUAAAAGCUCCCUACCUACCCUCCUGAGUUCGUCUUCAUCCUCUCAUGACUCUCAGCCUUAGCUGGCCAGUUGUCCUUACACCUCCCUCCACCUCACCAGCUGUCAGGACUCACCACUCAGCCCGCCCACUGCCUGGCUGUCUUCCACCCAGUAUCACUGUUUGCUCCUGCUUCCCACAGAAAGACAAACUAGCACUCAGGAAAUCUGUCAGAAUGGAGUCACUACAGCCAAUUUUCUUUCUGAUACCAAAUUGGGCAAAACAAUGCUUUUUCCAGAUGUAUAACAUUUUAAAACAAUAUGUAAGAGCUCUGGGGCUACAUUUUCCAAAAAAGUGAUUUUGCUUGUUCCAUUGUUCAAAUGUAUCUUCUUGAGUUCAUAAUGCUGGAAAAAGAGAUUCUGCUUGCUCCAUUGUUCAAAGGGGAAGACUGAGGGCCAGUGAAUUGAUCUGCCCAAGGUCCUUGUUGAGAGAUGCGGUCCUAGCCUUGCCCUGAUUGAGAAAGGUGCAGUGAGGACUGGCAGCUACUGCUGGCAUAAUAAAACAAGCCAAACUCAGCUCGGUUCUGAGCAGCUUAGGUUGAUCCAGAUUUGAGUUCGCACAGAGCAAGCUGGGAGGAGACAACACAGAGAAUUCAGCCUCUAGGGAGAACUGCCUGCUGACUUUCAAGAGAAUUCAACAAGCAUAUGUUCCCUGGAAGAAUAAAGCGAGAGAACAGAGCAGUCACUAUAAGGCCAACCCCUCCCAGCUGCCCCAGCAGGUGGGCUCUGGAGGCAGUGGACAGAGUCCUGGAAAAGCAGAUUCCAGUCUGACUCCAACAGGAAUAUGGACCAGCUGAGGAAAGCCUACAUCAUUUAAAAACUUAGAAACAAGCUAUUUCUCUCAGCUUCAAUUUCUUUCAUCUGCAGAACUAAUGGGCAUGAUAAAAGUGUCCAAGAAAUCCACAGCAAACCUGUUACCUACACAGAAGUCCCUGCUGGGCUCCAAACAUAUACAUUCACUGGCCUUCUCUGUGCCUCCACCUGGUUUUCCUCAGGCAUCUUCAAUCACCACAUCCCAAAUAAAAAUCGGUUCUGCCCUUCCCCAUCACGGAAGCCAGAGAGCCCACUGCAUCAGUCUCCUUCUCCCACCUUUACUCCCCAAAUCUAACCAGACACCAAGCCCUGCUUCCUGUCUGUCCUUCACAGAACCCCAUUAAUACCCCUGCUCACUGUCUCCCUCCCUGGCUACUGCCUCCUCUGCAAACUUGCAACAGGCACACCACCGCUUCCUCAGACUCAAGCCCUGACUCCUCCAGCCAUCUCUACAAGUCACUGCUGGUGACAUUUCCAGAAAAGAUCUCAUUCUGUCAAUCCACUUAAUACUUACUGAGCACCUACUACAUGUCAAUCGCUCCUAGGCAAAGAGAUUUGGCUGGUAACUAAAGAAAAACAUUCCACCCUCAUGAAGCUUGUAUUUACUGUUCAAACUACUUGAUGAUUUCAGGGAGGAAAAAGUAAAAAGUAACUGUUAAUUGUGGCUUUGGGAGAGCAAGUCUAGAUAAUCUUCUAGAAGUUUCAUUUUAUAACUUUUCAUACUGCAAGAAAAUUUUAUUUUUUUAUAUUUGUAAUAUGUUAUUGCUAUUCAGAGUUUACUUGCCACUAUAUAAAGCCUACCUUUCCUCCUCCACAAAGAAGAGGUGCUCACUUCCUUUUUGGUCCCCUCACUGCAUUUACCACACUAGAGGCUGGCUGCUAUUCACAAAUCUUUGUCACAGAUUACAGCUGAACCCUUUGUAGGCAGGUAGUUUAUUUUAUUAAUCUACCUUCAUAUGUCUGGUUCAACAAAUAUUUGUGAAUAAAUUAUUAUAAAAAAUGCCUAGAUAUUUCUGACAUAUUUUGCCCAGGGGAAUUUUGAAUGUUUCAUAUAAUUUUUGAAGUUUUAUGUUUUUAUGAUUUAUGUUUUGUUCUUAAACCAAGGCAAGGAGAGAAAGGACUCUGGCGUAUAGAACAGCCUAUCCUAGAGUGCCACCUGCUGACCGAACAGUAAAGCUCUUUUGGUUAGGCAAAGAAGGUAUCAGUGCUGGUCAAUGCUGCAAUGGUAGACAAUGACAAAAAUAAUCAGUAGCUCUCACUACUAAUUUGUAUGUCUGAAAAUGCUAGGUAGACAACACACAGAACUGGACAAAUACUGUGAUGGUAACUAUAAAAAUAUAUUCUUAAAGCAAUGAUGGGUCAUUGUAUUAGGAUAUUAGAACUAUGGGUGAAUUUCUUCCUCACCGUUCUUAAGGUCUGUUAAUGUUGUGACACUUAAUCAAUGCUAGUUAAUUAACUGACAAACUUCAAACCAUCCAAGAAUGAAAGUUGGUUUAAAAUAAUAUCACUUCACCAACUGGCACAAAGUUGUGAACCUGGGCCACCUGUGACUGCUCUUUCUUCUUUCCCUGGGUGAGGUCAGUGCAGCCAACAUUUCCUUCAAUGUCACCCUCCUCCAAUAGCAAAAGGGGUCAGGUUCAGUGUGUAAGGUGCCUUCCUCAGUGCUAAGCAAGCUGGAUUCCAGUUAAUUAGAAUGUAUAGAUCUAUUCAUUUGUCCACUAAGCAUUUACUACACUCUUCCAUUUGGGCCUGGCAGCCCACUAGGCCUGCUUCCUCACCAAUCCCAAUAUGGGAAAUCUUACAUAUUUAAACAAAAUGGAAGAACACCAAACCGAUGACUGAAAAAAACCCAAAGAGGAGAAGAGCACAAGGAAAAGACUGAUCGUUUCCUGCCAUGUAUUUCAGAAGAGCGGGCUAUGCCUGAAAAACAGAAGGCUUUAGAGACCUAUUUCAAUAAGACACAUAAGAAUGGUGGGUAAAUUAACACACCAAAUAUCUUUAUGGACAAUCAGAAAGUCUGAAAACACUUUGCUCUUCUAACUGCUUUACACUAGUCCCUGUCAAUCCUACCAAUCCAAUAUUACAAAUACUUGCUUACAUUGUUUUACAAUAGCUCAAAACCAGAGAAACUAUGUCUUCUGCUAACUACAUUAGAAUCAGAACACUCCCCAUAACUGCGGUAGAACAGUAGGCAUCACACUGCCUCAAUGUCCCCAUUUCUCUGCUGUUACAUAGGAUACUGAAAAUAAUGGCCAAUGAUAUAACGCAGUAAGUGCUCGACAAACUAUUGCAAUUAUUUCACUAGAGAUUUGUGCUCCUAACAUUGAUGGCCCACAGUAAGUACUUUCCCUUCCAAAUUUUUCUUUCUUUUUUUUUGGUACUGGGAAUCGAACUCAGGACCUUGCGCUUGCCAGGCAGGCACUGUGCCAUGGAGCUGUAUCUCCACCCCCAAACUUUUUUUGUAUGUGUGUGUGACCCUCCAGGGCUUCCCACAUGCGAGGCAAGCGCUCUACCCAGAUCUAUACUCCCAGCCUGUCUUCUAAAUACUUCUAGUGCUUAAAUCCUACUUCAUUUAUUUGCCACUUUGCCCUUCCAUUUAUACUCAUUUUGUGUGUGAGUGUGUGUGCCUUGCCCCCAAAACUAUUAAGGGAUUACAUCUACAUCUCUAUUACAAUAACAACCAAAGCGUCUUAGCCCAGCAGAGCUAAGGAGUUCACUGAGCUGGCCACUCAGUCUGGAAGCAAUCUUUUCCAUCUUGUGCAUUUUAGGGAGACAAGGGUGAGGAAACGGUUGACACUGGGCAAUCCUGAAAUAGCAAGGGCGAGAAGUGAUCUGGUUUAGAAGUCCAAUCAGGCACUGUGCAGUCAAGCUUGUCAAAGUGACAAGCUAAAAACAAACAGGCAGCUUGGGGACCAAGGAGAAUUUGGUGGGAGCACGAGGAAGGCUUUUAUCUGCAGGUAACCUGAGGUCACCUGGUCAACUUCAUCUCUAAAAGUGCAUCUGCAGUACCUACAAGACCUGUGCCUUGUUGUUACCCUUAGAGCAGAAGACACAAUUCCACUGGAAGCUCUUUAACAGAGUAGGCUCAAAGAGCAGCGUGGGGGGAGAAGGUAUGCGGGGGGUCCUGGUGCUACAUUUCACCUCUUACUCUUCUGUAUCCUAUUAGUGACCUGGUCACCACCCCUGCAGUAGGUACAAGAGAAUUUAUACCCUGCUUCUCCGAGGUAGGAAUUACCCUCUAAGGCAGGUAACUGUUCCUUCUAGUUGCUAUCUUAAUAUAUCUCUUUAAUUUCUUCUUAAGCUACUGGAUAUAUUAAUCACAAAGCACACAUAUUUAUAGUAGAAAAGUUAACAAAAUGGAUAUAGCUAGAGCCUUAGAUCACUAUCUAAAAUGAUUAAAGCUUUUCCAUUUUUCCCACUGAAAUACCCAAAUCCUAGCAGAAUGACUUUCAAGUGAAACUCCUCCUGCUCUGGCAAGCAAGGUUUUGUAGAACAUGUCCAAAUGACCAUACUAUUUGCCUCCCCUCAAAAAAAUCCAUAAACUCAACCUCACUAUCUGUCCCUCCACUUCAUACCAAGUUCAGCCCAUUCCAGUUACACUCCGUCUCCCAAGAAUUCAGAAGAGACCUCUGAUUCUAAACAUAGACAAAUAACCUCAUAUUCUAAAGAUAAAGACACUAACAGAGGUGGAAAACUUAUCAAAAGUAAUAGGAAUCAUCACAAAAUUAAUUUGAAAGAGGAGGAGGGAA